rnacentral:rRNA from 1 species
CCUACGGGCGGCAGCAGUGGGGGAUAUUGCACAAUGGGGGAAACCCUGAUGCAGUGACGCCGCGUGGGUGAAGAAGUAUUUCGGUAUGUAAAGCCCUAUCAGCAGGGAAGAAAGAAGACGGUACCUGACUAAGAAGCCCCGGCUAACUCCGUGCCAGCAGCCGCGGUAAUACGGAGGAUGCGAGCGUUAUCCGGAUUUAUUGGGUUUAAAGGGUGCGUAGGCGGAAUAUCAAGUCAGCGGUAAAAAUUCGGGGCUCAACCCCGUCGUGCCGUUGAAACUGAUGUUCUUGAGUGGGCGAGAAGUAUGCGGAAGGCGUGGUGUAGCGGUGAAAGGAAUAGAUAUAACGCAGAACUCCGAUUGCGAAGGCAGCAUACCGGCGCCCAAAUGACGCUGAAGCACGAAAGCGUGGGUAUCGAACAGGAUUAGAUACCCUAGUAGUC